rnacentral:lncRNA from 1 species
GCAGGCUCAGUUCGCGCAGGACAACAACCCCGACGCGCAGACGCUGCAGAAGCUAGCGGACAUGACGGGCCUCAGUCGCAGGGUCAUCCAGGUGGGGAUCCGGGGUCUCAGCCUUCAGGUCUGGGGCGGACCUCAGGGAAGUGCUGAAAUUCGUAGUGGUGCGGAUGGUCGCGGUUGUACGUGGCCACCCCUCUCCAGUGUGGCCUGAGGUCCUCAGUUGGCACGGGUUGAUCCUUUUCCUUGAUUACUGAGAGUGCAGAGACUGUCGUUCCAGGUGUGGUUUCAAAACUGCCGAGCGCGUCAUAAAAAGCAUACACCGCAGCACCCAGUGCCGCCCUCUGGGGCACCCCCGUCCCGCCUCCCCUCCUCCCUGUCCGACGACAUCCACUA